CGCGUGCUUACACAUGCAGUCGAACGAUGAAGCCCAGCUUGCUGGGUGGAUUAGUGGCGAACGGGUGAGUAACACGUGAGUAACCUGCCCCCGACUCUGGGAUAAGCCCGGGAAACUGGGUCUAAUACCGGAUAUGACCAUGGAACGCAUGUUUUGUGGUGGAAAGAUUUAUCGGUGGGGGAUGGACUCGCGGCCUAUCAGCUUGUUGGUGAGGUAAUGGCUCACCAAGGCGACAACGGGUAGCCGGCCUGAGAGGGUGACCGGCCACACUGGGACUGAGACACGGCCCAGACUCCUACGGGAGGCAGCAGUGGGGAAUAUUGCACAAUGGGCGCAAGCCUGAUGCAGCGACGCCGCGUGAGGGAUGACGGCCUUCGGGUUGUAAACCUCUUUCAGUAGGGAAGAAGCGAAAGUGACGGUACCUGCAGAAGAAGCGCCGGCUAACUACGUGCCAGCAGCCGCGGUAAUACGUAGGGCGCAAGCGUUAUCCGGAUUUAUUGGGCGUAAAGAGCUCGUAGGCGGUUUGUCGCGUCUGCCGUGAAAGUCCGAGGCUCAACCUCGGAUCUGCGGUGGGUACGGGCAGACUAGAGUGAUGUAGGGGAGACUGGAAUUCCUGGUGUAGCGGUGAAAUGCGCAGAUAUCACGAGGAACACCGAUGGCGAAAGCAGGUCUCUGGGCAUUUACUGACGCUGAGGAGCGAAAGCAUGGGGAGCGAACAGGAUUAGAUACCCUGGUAGUCCAUGCCGUAAACGUUGGGCACUAGGUGUGGGGGACAUUCCACGUUUUCCGCGCCGUAGCUAACGCAUUAAGUGCCCCGCCUGGGGAGUACGGCCGCAAAGGCUAAAACUCAAGGAAUUGACUGGGGGCCCGCCACAAGCGGCGGGAGCAUGCGGAUUUAUUCGAUGCACGCGAAGAACUUACCAAGCUGACAUGUGCCAGACCGCUCCAAGAUGGGGUUCCCCU
rnacentral:rRNA from 1 species